AUUUACAAAGUAUAUUUACACCUCUCAAGGAUUCUAUUCGAGGAUACGUAUAUAUAUAUGUAUUUCAUCCGAUACGACUUACCUCUUGCCCCGCGUAAUCGGCCGAGUCUGGAUGGAUCAUUGGCGCGAAUCGAUCAUCCCUUUUCCCCUCGGCCUUCCGCAUCUAGCAUUUUUCGGAUCGCGCACACGCCACGCUUCGGCGCCGGCGCGACGCCGCUUUCCAUCCCCUCCCUCUGUCUCUCUCUCCCCCCUUCCCCCUCGUGUGUAUCCGAUACGACGUGACACCCUUUGUCCCCCCUUCCACCACGCGAUACAUCUUCCCAACUUCGCCGACCAAACUUAUGUACACUGUUCUCAGUACUCGCUGCCAGUUAUGCUUUCGAAAUGCAUGAAUUGUUCCUCCGUCGAGCGAAAUUGAUGGUUAUCUCGUGGCGCACGCUUCGCAAUUUACCACUAGCAAAUUGAUUAUCUUCGAUCUCGGAGGUUGCCGCGUUGUUUUGUGUGGACGGGUGACAUUGAGGGAAAGGAUUGUUUGAUUCAUGGGAGGUGGGGAAAUUUGUUGACACGACGAGCGGAAUAAACUGCGGUCCCGUGAUAAUAGCACGUUGUUAUUUCCGUCCUCGGAGAUGUUCGAAUUAAUUUUGACCGAGUUUAAUUUUAUGUUGCGGGAAAUUUGGACUAUGACUGCUCUCGCUGUUGGAAUUCACGUGAUACGAAACUCGUGAGUUUUCGUGAUUUUUUUAUCUUCGUUGAAUCGGAUAUAUUUUUAACGAUGAGUAACAAGGAAAUAAUACAGGAGAAUUAAAUCUUUAUUCUGUUAUUAAAGAACCAUUUCACGGACAAGUGAUUGGGUGGAAAUGUUAAGAGCUAGUUCCAAGUUAACUUCUUCUUUUAUUAAACUGACUAUUUCAUCAUAUGAUAUGAACCGACGAUAUUGGUGGAAAUCAAUGUCUGCUCGAAAUGGUUGUUUCAAAAGUAUAUAAAUUCAAUCAGAGAGUAGAGAGUCCUCUCUGAAAAUGCUUUUGCAUUUUCAAUUGACAAUUUCAAUCGAGUGAUCAAUCUGAUUGGUUUAAUUGAUCGAGAAAAUUUAAAGAAGAAAGAGAUUUUGAAUUAGUAAUGAGGUUAGAUGUAAUCAAGCGCCACUACUCGGAAAACAGCAGGGAGGAUCCUUGGCGAGCCACUAUUUUCAAUAAUAUCUUAGAAAUUUUUCUUUAUUGAAAUGAACGGAUGUUGCACAACAAUUGGAAGACGAUACUGGGUCAAUUGUGACACGUGAGAAUUGUUGGGCACGAAUCUGAAGCUGAUAAUUAAAAUAUCUCUUUAUGAUACAUUAAAUAAAUUUAAUACGCUUCUUUGACCUCAAACGUAGUUUGAAAACGAUGAAGAAAUUUUAUAUUACUUUUUUCAAAUAACGCAUAGAUAUGCAUCCUUAAGGCAAGUAUGGAGGAUAAAAAAUUAAAAGGAUCUUAAUGUUUGUGAAAUUGUUAUAUUGCUUAAACUAUGAGCUAUGGAACCGAUGGAAAUUUUUAUCUCGAAUUGGAAUUAUAAUCAGGAGAUACAUUGAAACCAGCAAUAAUUACAAUAAUGGCUGGGAUAAAAUUCCUUCUCGGAACAAGCAGAAGUGAACGAGCAGCAAGUCCUCGGUAUUAAUAUGCAUAAUGAAGUUUAACUAUGAUUAUCGGAAUUCCUGUUACAUAUUGGAUGCACAGUUAAUCGAGCAAAUGCGUGUAUUUGACCGAUUUCCGUGUUAAUGGUUUAAUUAUCGAAACUUCGAUUCACUGAAUUAUUCGAUUAUUCUAAUUGCGUUAUCUAACACGAUAAAAGAAUUCUUACUAGUAUAAGUGAAAUGAGUAAUUGAAGGAAAAGUAAAACGUGAUUUUUUUUAAAUACAGGUAUAUAAUAUAUACUUAUGUAAGUCACAGAUUUUUAAGAAU